CACACACUUUUUUACUUGAAUUGAUUAGAAGUUGUUUGUAAUUAGUCGUUUUCUUCUUUCUCAUUACAUCAUGUUUAUAUAUUUAAGUAUUUAUUUAUUUAUUUUAUUAUUAUUAUUAUUAUUUUUUAAAUGUUCUCUCACAGAAAACUGGUUAGAAUGCAGGUGGUGAGAAUGGUGGUGGCUUGGUGGAUGCAAAACAUGAUUGCAUCCAUUAUUAUUUUCAAAGUUCAUGCAGCACACAAGGAAUUAAAGCGUGCGGAGAGUGCCUUCAAUACACAAAUCGUUUGACUGGGGUCUUUUGCAGCGCAAUGGUAACAGAAAAAUAUUAUUGUAUUUGUACAUAUAAAUGCAACGAUAUACCAGGAGGACCAUGUCGUUGUUAAUUUCGUCUGUGUUGCUAUUGAUUGUGCAUUGAGGAAGUAAUAAUAUUCUGGGAAAUUUACAAAGCCCUAGUGGCAUUAUUUCGC
rnacentral:lncRNA from 1 species